CAUAUACUCCCUCCGUUCGGAAUUACUUGUCGUAGAAAUAGAUGUAUCUAGACGUAUUUUAGUUCUAGAUACAUCCAUUUCCGAGACAAGUAAUUCCGAACGGAGGGAGUACCUU
rnacentral:pre_miRNA from 1 species